UCCCCGUUACCGGGGCAGUCUGACUAGAGAAAUCCAACUAGCCAUAAGGGUUGCGCUCGUUGAUGGACUUAACCAAACAUCUCACGACACGAGCUGACGACGGCCAUGCAACACCUGUCACCGGGUUCCAAAAGGCACAGUCUCCUUUCGGAGACCUUCCCGGGAUGUCAAGUCCUGGUGAGGUUCUACGCUUACUGACGUAUUAAACAACACGCUCCACCGCUUGUGCGGAUCCCCGUCUAUUCCUUUAUGUUUUAGCCUUGCGGCCGUACUCCACAGGCGGGAUGCUUAACGCGUUAGCUUCGCAACAUGUAGGGUCGAUACUACAAACUGCUAGCAUCCAUCGUUUACGGCGUGGACUAC
rnacentral:misc_RNA from 1 species